rnacentral:rRNA from 1 species
UGGGGAAUACUGCACAAUGGGCGAAAGCCUGAUGCAGCAACGCCGCGUGAGUGAUGAAGGCCUUCGGGUUGUAAAGCUCUGUCUUUUGGGACGAUAAUGACGGUACCAAAGGAGGAAGCCACGGCUAACUACGUGCCAGCAGCCGCGGUAAUACGUAGGUGGCAAGCGUUGUCCGGAUUUACUGGGCGUAAAGGAUGCGUAGGCGGAUUUUUAAGUGAGAUGUGAAAACCCUAAGCUUAACUUGGGGACUGCAUUUCAUACUGGAAAUCUAGAGUGCGGGAGAGGAGAAUGGAAUUCCUAGUGUAGCGGUGAAAUGCGUAGAGAUUAGGAAGAACACCAGUGGCGAAGGCGAUUCUCUGGACCGUAACUGACGCUGAGGCAUGAAAGCGUGGGUAGCAAACAGGAUUAGAUACCCUGGUAGUCCACGCCGUAAACGAUGAGUACUGGGUGUAGGAGGUAUCGACCCCUUCUGUGCCGCAGUUAACACAAUAAGUACUCCGCCUGGGAAGUACGAUCGCAAGAUUAAAACUUAAAGGAAUUGACGGGGUCAUAGCUGUUUCCU